ACUUUUAAAUGCCACGUUGUCUGCAUCCCAGGACCCAGGCAAGGGGCACGAGUGUGACCCCCCCAGGCCUUCCCCUGGUUCCGUUUCCCUCCCUAGCCCGGUCCCCACGAUGGGUGGGGACAGUGGGCUGUGACAAUGGAUCGCGACUGCUGUUUUUACCUGGCGGACGAUGCGCCCGAAUUCGCUUUAACCAGAUGCCCCUCUUCGCCUGGAGCCCUGGGAGCAGUCCCCCUCUCCGCUCAACAAUAAUUAGCCUUGUAAGACUAAUGGAGGAAAUCGUGUCUAAUUACCCUGUUGAAGACCCAAUUAUGCGAUUAACAUUCGUGGCUAUAAGCUAAUGAUGAGAAGAGCCUCUCAUUUGCAUAGCAUUAAGUUAAUUGCUGGCAAGCGGAGGGGCGGACAAGGCGGUGAUGGCAGGAUUCUCUUUCUGAAAGGAUACUAAUGACCAGAGAGGACGAGCCACCUGACAGCUUUAUUAAUUAACAGCGAUCUGAUUACCUACCAGGAAUGGCAAGUGGCCUCGCUGAAAGUCUCGGCUCUUUGAGAAAUGAGAGAUGGGAGCCCUCACUGCCGAUGUUUCUUCCACACGCUUUGCUGGGUUAGAGGCAAGCUCAUGACCGCCUUGAAAAGCCAUUUUAGACAAAUCUUCCUUUGCAUUCUUGCUGGAGCCCUUCUCUUAUGCCCUUCCUUGGACAUUUGCUCUUUCACUCCCUCCCCCAUGCACUCACCCCACCCAUAGUGACUGCGCUCCUCCUGCCUGCGACGCUGGCAACAGGCAGCACAGUCUAAGGUCCCUCCCGGGAAAGUGUUCAGAGAGGGUUCCAUUCUGGGAGAGGCCCCCACUUUCCCCAGAGGUUUCAGAUUCGAGUCAACCUUGCUGCUGGCAAAUGUCAGCAGAGAAUUUCAGAGCUUGAAGAAUCCUUAGAGAGCAUCAGUUCGAGUCUCUUACCCGGAAAAAACUGGGGGGCCCGGAGAGGCUAAGGGUCUGGAGCUCAAGAUGCCCGCCAGGCAGUGGCAGGGCAGGGUGGUGCCUGGACUGUGCAGGACGGCUCUGUCUCUUCAGCCUCUCUGUCAUCCCCGUCAGGCCCACUGUAUUUGGAGAUUUCGACGUUGCCUUGGGAACCCCUGCCCCUCCCCACAGUGCCCGCCCAGCCCCCUCCCAUUUCCCCUCCUAGCACUUACUUGCCCCUGGCCCUCCUCCCAGCCUGUUUCCCCCCAUGCGGGCAGGAACUGUAUUGCACUCACUCUAAUAAAUAGAUGAUUGGACCAAU
rnacentral:lncRNA from 1 species